GACGUAGGGCGCGAGCGUUGUCCGGAUUUAUUGGGCGUAAAGAGCUCGUAGGCGGCUUGUUGCGUCGGCUGUGAAAACCCGCAGCUCAACUGUGGGCUUGCAGCUGAUACGGGCAGGCUAGAAUUCGGUAGGGGAGACUGGAAUUCCUGGUGUAGCGGUGAAAUGCGCAGAUAUCAGGAGGAACACCGGUGGCGAAGGCGGAUCUCUGGGCCGAUACUGACGCUGAGGAGCGAAAGCGUGGGGAGCGAACAGG
rnacentral:rRNA from 1 species